rnacentral:rRNA from 1 species
AAAGAGGAAAUUCAUUCGCGUUUCGGCCGUCGAAGAGAAACGUUUGUAUGACGGAAGGCAUUUCGGUGUCGUCUGCGUCUUAUGUUUUUCGAAUCGAUGUCGAACGCGUGCACUUUUCCUCUAGUAGGACGUCGCGAUCCGUUGGGUGUCUGUCUAAGACUCGAGGUGGAGCCCACGUGAUAUUUGAUUGCGUGGACCCUCGAUGUUCCGACAGACUCGCUCGACGGUAUAUUAAUGGCGCGAGGCCGCUAUUUUAAUUAGCGUUCGGCCCGUAUCAAGCGCGUUCUGUGUUUGACGGUAAUCGGACCUAGUGCCGAUUCUGUCCCAGGACGACUGUUGGUUACGGUGUUCUCGAACAGACCUCGUAUAUGAAACGCCGAUCGGCGACGCUAUAGAUUUGGGUACUUUCAGGACCCGUCUUGAAACACGGACCAAGGAGUCUAGCAUGUGCGCGAGUCAUUGGGAUACAACUAAACCUAAAGGCGUAAUGAAAGUAAAGGUUUACCUUGCGUAGACCGAGGGAGGAUGAGCGGCUUGCCCUUAAAAGUGACCGCUUCGCACUCCCGGGGCGUCUCGUUCUCAUUG